UCCGGCCCGGGGCCGCCCCGCCUCCCGCGCCGCGGCCCGACCCCGUCAGCAAGGCAGUACCGCCUCGUCCGCCCAGCGCCCGAGGCAGGAGGAAGUAUUUUUGAUCACCCUGCGAUGGACCUUGGGAGUACUUGACUGUUGUUGCUGCAAGGCUAGCCUGGCAAGUGAGACAACUACAGUGACACUGUAAUGCUUAUACCAUGAUAUACUAGCAAACUGCAAAGACUGAACAAAAUGAACGUACUGACUUGCACUGAUACUGAAGAUGACACAAAGAGA